CGUAGUUCGAAGGAAGACAGCGCAAGAACCAUGUCGGGAAUCCCGAUGCUCCUGCUGCUGGUGGUGAUGCUGGUGGCGGCUGGGACGGCGCAGUUCUACGGCUACGGCUACCCCUCGUACUACGGGUACGGCCGCGGCUACGGACUCGGCUACUACCGCCCUUACUACGGAGGAGGCUACUACAGACCGUACUACAGGCGCUACUACGGCUACUACGGAUGAUGGAACUAGCGCAGGAGUUCCUGGCUUCGACGCACCCCCAUUACCCAUCAGCUUACUCUUCUACGCUUUAUCGUACAUAUGUAUGGACUUGCCUUCGAAACUUAAUUGUGCGUUUCACUGUGGUUAAUAAAGCAAAGUUUCAGCUGGUA